rnacentral:rRNA from 1 species
UAUUGGGCAAUGGGGGAAACCCUGACCCAGCGACGCCGCGUGAGGGAAGACGGUCUUCGGAUUGUAAACCUCUGUCUUUGGGGACGAAAAAGGACGGUACCCAAGGAGGAAGCUCCGGCUAACUACGUGCCAGCAGCCGCGGUAAUACGUAGGGAGCGAGCGUUGUCCGGAAUUACUGGGUGUAAAGGGAGCGUAGGCGGGAUUGCAAGUUGGAUGUGAAAACUGCGGGCUCAACCCGGAGAGUGCAUUCAAAAAUGCGAUUCUUGAGUGAAGUAGAGGCAAGCGGAAUUCCUAGUGUAGCGGUGAAAUGCGUAGAGAUUAGGAGGAACACCAGUGGCGAAGGCGGCUUGCUGGGCUUUUACUGACGCUGAGGCUCGAAAGUGUGGGGAGCAAACAGG